rnacentral:rRNA from 1 species
AACGUAGGAGGCAAACGUUAUCCGGAUUUAUUGGGCGUAAAGCGCAUGCAGGCGGUUUUUCAAGUCGGACGUGAAAGCUCUUGGCUCAACUAAGAGAGGCCGUUCGAAACUGGAAGACUUGAGGAUGAUAGAGGAGAGUGGAAUUCCCGGUGUAGUGGUGAAAUGCGUAGAUAUCGGGAGGAACACCAGUGGCGAAAGCGGCUCUCUGGGUCAUUCCUGACGCUCAGAUGCGAAAGCUAGGGGAGAGAACGGG